GCGAUGGUAGCUCAGGGGUAGAGCGUCGGUCUGUGGCUCCGAAGGUCGUGGGUUCGAGACCCAUUCAUCGCCC
rnacentral:tRNA from 1 species